GUAUGACGGCCACAUGAGGACCACACUGUCUCCUUUGACUAAUCAAUGAAUCUGAUCUCCUAGUACAAAAGCUAAGAUACACCCAUAAGACGAGAAGACCCUGUGGAGCUUAAAAUACCAACACUAACCACCACCACCCCAACAGGCCCACACCACCAAAAUAGUGUACAUUUUCAGUUGGGGCGACUACGGAACCAAACAAAACUUCCACGACGGGGCCAACCCCCCUCCCCCCAGGUCCACAAACCAACACACCAUUUGACCCAGCAAUGCUGACCAACGAACCAAGUUACCCCAGGGAUAACAGCGCCAUCCUCUUCAAGAGCCCCUAUCGCCAAGAGGGUUUACGACCUCGAUGUUGGAUCAGGACCCCCAGGUGGUGCAACCGCUACCAAUGGUUCGUUUG
rnacentral:rRNA from 1 species